GGGCCUAUAGCUUAGUUGGUAGAGGACUGAUCUUUUGAGAUUUGGGUCCCGAGUUCGAAUCUCGGUAGGUCCA
rnacentral:tRNA from 2 species